rnacentral:rRNA from 1 species
GACGAACGCUGGCGGCGCGCUUAACACAUGCAAGUCGAACGGAAAGGCCUGCUUUCCCUUGUGGAUUGCGGGUACUCGAGUGGCGAACGGGUGAGUAACACGUGAGUGAUCUGCCCCCAACUUGGGUAUAAGCCUGGGAAACUGGGUCUAAUUCCCGAUAGGACUGCAGGGUGGUGCCUGUGGUGGAAAACGAUUUUCUAGUGGUUGGGGAUGAGCUCGCGGCCUAUCAGCUUGUUGGUGCGGUAAUGGCCUACCAAGGCGGCGACGGGUAGCCGGCCUGAGAGGGUGGACGGCCACAUUGGGACUGAGAUACGGCCCAGACUCCUACGGGAGGCAGCAGUGGGGAAUAUUGCACAAUGGGCGGAAGCCUGAUGCAGCGACGCCGCGUGGGGGAUGACGGCCUUCGGGUUGUAAACUCCUUUCGACCGCGAGGAAGCCACCUGGUUGGAAGGGUGGUGACGGUAGUGGUAGAAGAAGCACCGGCUAACUACGU